AGCGAGAGAGAGCUUGCUUUCUCGAGCGAGUGGCGAACGGGUGAGUAACGCGUGAGGAACCUGCCUCAAAGAGGGGGACAACAGUUGGAAACGACUGCUAAUACCGCAUAAGCCCACGGUGCCGCAUGGCACAGAGGGAAAAGGAGCAAUCCGCUUUGAGAUGGCCUCGCGUCCGAUUAGCUAGUUGGUGAGGUAACGGCCCACCAAGGCAACGAUCGGUAGCCGGACUGAGAGGUUGAACGGCCACAUUGGGACUGAGACACGGCCCAGACUCCUACGGGAGGCAGCAGUGGGGAAUAUUGCACAAUGGGGGAAACCCUGAUGCAGCGACGCCGCGUGGAGGAAGAAGGUCUUCGGAUUGUAAACUCCUGUUGUUGGGGAAGAUAAUGACGGUACCCAACAAGGAAGUGACGGCUAACUACGUGCCAGCAGCCGCGGUAAAACGUAGGUCACAAGCGUUGUCCGGAAUUACUGGGUGUAAAGGGAGCGCAGGCGGGAAGACAAGUUGGAAGUGAAAUCUAUGGGCUCAACCCAUAAACUGCUUUCAAAACUGUUUUUCUUGAGUAGUGCAGAGGUAGGCGGAAUUCCCGGUGUAGCGGUGGAAUGCGUAGAUAUCGGGAGGAACACCAGUGGCGAAGGCG
rnacentral:rRNA from 1 species